rnacentral:misc_RNA from 2 species
UUUUUUUUUUUUUUUUUUU